rnacentral:rRNA from 1 species
CAGGACGAACGCUGGCGGCGUGCCUAAUACAUGCAAGUUGAGCGCUGAAGGUUGGUACUUGUACCAACUGGAUGAGCAGCGAACGGGUGAGUAACGCGUGGGGAAUCUGCCUUUGAGCGGGGGACAACAUUUGGAAACGAAUGCUAAUACCGCAUAAAAACUUUAAACACAAGUUUUAAGUUUGAAAGAUGCAAUUGCAUCACUCAAAGAUGAUCCCGCGUUGUAUUAGCUAGUUGGUGAGGUAAAGGCUCACCAAGGCGAUGAUACAUAGCCGACCUGAGAGGGUGAUCGGCCACAUUGGGACUGAGACACGGCCCAAACUCCUACGGGAGGCAGCAGUAGGGAAUCUUCGGCAAUGGACGAAAGUCUGACCGAGCAACGCCGCGUGAGUGAAGAAGGUUUUCGGAUCGUAAAACUCUGUUGGUAGAGAAGAACGUUGGUGAGAGUGGAAAGCUCAUCAAGUGACGGUAACUACCCAGAAAGGGACGGCUAACUACGUGCCAGCAGCCGCGGUAAUACGUAGGUCCCGAGCGUUGUCCGGAUUUAUUGGGCGUAAAGCGAGCGCAGGUGGUUUAUUAAGUCUGGUGUAAAAGGCAGUGGCUCAACCAUUGUAUGCAUUGGAAACUGGUAGACUUGAGUGCAGGAGAGGAGAGUGGAAUUCCAUGUGUAGCGGUGAAAUGCGUAGAUAUAUGGAGGAACACCGGUGGCGAAA